GUGGCCGUCACGUGACCAAGAGCCGCCUAGAGCUCAAGUCCUGCUAGUCGUCUUCGUCUGGGUACCAGCCCCCUUAUUACUCUGCAGGCGUGUGAAGAAAGAAGGAAACUAGCUCGGACUGUGCAGGAUCGUAGGUCUGCUGGCCUGUAAGUCUCGGCGCAAGUCUAAGCUAGAGAAGGAGAAAACUGCCUUGGUUGGAACCUUGCAGACUCUAUCUGUCUAUCACCGUGGAAGGACCACUGACAACAGAAGGCAAGGGAAAACGAAGAAAUUUACCCGACUUUGGUAGAGGAAGAG
rnacentral:lncRNA from 1 species